UACGGAAGGCAGCAAUGGGGAAUAUUGCACAAUGGGCGCAAGCCUGAUGCAGCCAUGCCGCGUGUAUGAAGAAGGCCUUCGGGUUGUAAAGUACUUUCAGUCGUGAGGAAGGUGUUAAGGUUAAUAACCUUAGCAAUUGACGUUAGCGACAGAAGAAGCACCGGCUAACUCCGUGCCAGCAGCCGCGGUAAUACGGAGGGUGCGAGCGUUAAUCGGAAUUACUGGGCGUAAAGGGCACGCAGGCGGUUAAUUAAGUUGGAUGUGAAAUCCCCGGGCUUAACCUGGGAAUGGCAUUCAAGACUGGUUAGCUAGAGUCUUGUAGAGGGGGUAGAAUUCCGAUGUGUAGCGGUGAAAUGCGUAGAGAUGUGGAGGAAUACCGGUGGCGAAGGCGGCCCCUGGGACAAAGACUGACGCUCAUGUGCGAAAGCGUGGGGAGCAAACAGGAUUAGAUACC
rnacentral:rRNA from 1 species